UACGUAGGGGACGAGCGUUGUCCGGAAUUAUUGGGCGUAAAGCGCGUGUAGGCGGCCUUGCAAGUCGGGUGUGAAAGCCCUCAGCUUAACUGAGGAAGUGCGCCCGAAACUGCUCGGCUUGAGUACCGGAGAGGAUGGUGGAAUUCCCGAAGUAGAGGUGAAAUUCGUAGAUAUCGGGAGGAACACCGGUGGCGAAGGCGACCAUCUGGACGGAUACUGACGCUGAGACGCGAAAGCGUGGGUAGCAAACAGG
rnacentral:rRNA from 1 species